CCAGGCGUGGUGGUGUGUGCCUGUAAUCCCAGCUACUCAGGAGGCUGAGGCUGGAGAAUCACUUGAAGCCGGGAGAUGCAGGUUGCAGCGAACUAAGAUCAUACCAUUACACUCUGGCUGGGUAACAGAGUAAGACCCUGUCUCAAAAAACAGAA